UGGGGAAUAUUGCGCAAUGGGGGAAACCCUGACGCAGCAACGCCGCGUGAAGGAUGAAGGCUUUCGGGUUGUAAACUUCUUUGAUCGGGGACGAAGAUGACGGUACCCGGGGAACAAGCCACGGCUAACUACGUGCCAGCAGCCGCGGUAAUACGUAGGUGGCGAGCGUUGUCCGGAAUUACUGGGCGUAAAGGGCGUGUAGGCGGCCUUUUAAGUCAGAUGUGAAAUCUCAGGGCUUAACCCUGAAACUGCAUUUGAAACUGGAGGGCUUGAGGAUCGGAGAGGGCAGUGGAAUUCCCAGUGUAGCGGUGAAAUGCGUAGAUAUUGGGAGGAACACCAGUGGCGAAGGCGACUGCCUGGACGACACCUGACGCUGAGGCGCGAAAGCUAGGGGAGCGAACGGG
rnacentral:rRNA from 1 species